rnacentral:lncRNA from 1 species
CAGGGCCGUAACUACCUAUGAGGCAGGGGAGGCAGUUGCCUCCCCUGAAUUUUCUACACCAAAAUUUUUUUUUGAAGUAAUACAAUGAAAUAUUGACAAUAUGUCCACGAAGAGUUUGAAUUUAUAGUAUAAACGACACAAGUUCACAGUUUUAACAGUGUUAAUAUCAUGAUACGUGAUAUAUGUCAUUUUCCGGAUUUUUGAUCGAUAGUGAAACGUUUCAGUAUUUGUUGGUUUUUUUUUCGUGUGGCCGUCCGUCUGUUAUUCAGUGUUCGUACGAGAACACAUAUUAAACUUUGCUUUUCGAUAAUUUUGAAUAAAACAUAACUGUUCACAUUUAUUUAGGGACUCAAUUAAGCAUAGGAAGUCCACUUUGUAUAAUAUCGGAAAUUCGGUACCAGCGGAAUCAGCAGUUGGAUCAUUUUUUUAACAUUUCCCGAUCGUACGAGAACAUUAUGGUUAAUGCAUUAGUAGUUAAACACUCCCAUUCGUUGUAGCACGGACUUUC